AGCAGCCGCGGUAAUUCCAGCUCCAAUAGCCUAUAUUAAAGUUGUUGCAGUUAAAAAGCUCGUAGUUGAAUUUCGGGAUCAAGGUGCCGGUCAUACCUUUGGUAUCUUCCUGACUUCAUUGAUUUCUCCCUUCUGAUGAACUGUGAUGUCAUUAAUUUGGUGUCAUGGAGAAUCAGGACUGUUACUUUGAAAAAAUUAGAGUGUUUAAAGCAGGCACACGCUUGAAUACAUUAGCAUGGAAUAAUGAAAUAGGACGUUUGACCCUAUUUUGUUGGUUUCUAGGAUCGACGUAAUGAUUAAUAGGGAUAGUUGGGGGCAUUAGUAUUCAAUUGUCAGAGGUGAAAUUCUUGGAUUUAUUGAAGACUAACUACUGCGAAAGCAUUUGCCAAGGAUGUUUUCAUUAAUCAAGAACGAAAGUUAGGGGAUCGAAGACGAUCAGAUACCGUCGUAGUCUUAACCAUAAACUAUGCCGACUAGGGAUCGGAUGAUGUUAAUUUUUUAAUGACUCA
rnacentral:rRNA from 1 species